rnacentral:tRNA from 1 species
GGAGAGUUGUCCGAGUGGUCGAAGGUGCGGCACUCGAAAUGCCGUGAGGGUAAAACCUCCUGGGGUUCGAAUCCCUAACUCUCCGCCA